AAAUAUUAAAACUGACACUGAUGGUAAUAUCAAAAAAGAAAGAACGAGCACUGCUUUCAUAUAUUUCGAAGUUAUUCGAUGCUUAAUCAUUUUGUUCUCAUCUUUGUCGUCGCUUUCAUUC
rnacentral:ribozyme from 15 species